CACGUAGGGGGCGAGCGUUGUCCGGAUUUAUUGGGCGUAAAGAGCUCGUAGGCGGCUCGGUAAGUCAGGUGUGAAAACUCUAGGCUCAACCUAGAGACGCCACCUGAUACUGCCGUGGCUAGAGUCCGGUAGGGGAGCAUGGAAUUCCUGGUGUAGCGGUGAAAUGCGCAGAUAUCAGGAGGAACACCGGUGGCGAAGGCGGGUCUCUGGGCCGAUAUCGACGCUGAGGAGCGAAAGCGUGGGGAGCGAACAGG
rnacentral:rRNA from 1 species